UACGGGGGGGGCAAGCGUUGUUCGGAAUUACUGGGCGUAAAGGGCUCGUAGGCGGACUCUUAAGUCGGGGGUGAAAUCCUGGAGCUCAACUCCAGAACUGCCUUUGAUACUGAAGAUCUUGAGUUCGGGAGAGGUGAGUGGAACUGCGAGUGUAGAGGUGAAAUUCGUAGAUAUUCGCAAGAACACCAGUGGCGAAGGCGGCUCACUGGCCCGAUACUGACGCUGAGGCACGAAAGCGUGGGGAGCAAACAGG
rnacentral:rRNA from 1 species